rnacentral:rRNA from 1 species
UGGGGAAUCUUGGACAAUGGGCGCAAGCCUGAUCCAGCCAUGCCGCGUGAGUGAUGAAGGCCCUAGGGUUGUAAAACUCUUUCGUGGGGGACGAUAAUGACGGUACCCCAAGAAGAAGCUCCGGCUAACUUCGUGCCAGCAGCCGCGGUAAUACGAAGGGGGCUAGCGUUGUUCGGAUUUACUGGGCGUAAAGCGCGUGUAGGCGGGCUGGAAAGUUGGGGGUGAAAUCCCGAGGCUCAACUUCGGAACUGCCUUUGAUACUGGCAAUCUAGAGUCCGGAAGAGGUUAGUGGAAUUCCCAGUGUAGAGGUGAAAUUCGUAGAUAUUGGGAAGAACACCAGUGGCGAAGGCGGCUAACUGGUCCGGUACUGACGCUGAGGUGCGAAAGCGUGGGGAGCAAACAGGAUUAGAUACCCCCGUAGUCCCUGAGCGGGCUGGCAAGGCGCAU